AUGACUACAGGUGAAAACUGCGGUUGGCGGCGCAGAGCUGUGGGUGAGAGACGUCAGUCCCCGACGGGGGGAGCUGGGAGGACUCCAGACAACAGCAACGCCCGCAGAUCAGGCCAGCCCAGUGAGGACAGCCAUCCGACAGCAGUAGCCGUCAAGACCAGGGUCCUUCCUACUGGCAGGUCCCCAAACGUUCUGACACAGCAACCUGGAAAACAUAACGUCCUCACCCGCGGGAGGGUGCGGUCACUGACACUGUCCCGGGACAGGCACACUGGAGUCACCGGCACACAGCUGCCUCAGGAUGAACGGGAAGAGGACAGAGGUCAUCCCUCUCCCCUGUCAACUCCGUCACGAAGGGCCAACAUCACUUCCCAGGAUCAACUCCGUCAUGAAGGGCGACAUCACUUCCCAGGAUCAACUCCGUCAGGAGGGGCGACAUCACUUCCCAGGUUCAACUCCGUCAGGAGGGGCGACAUCACUUCCCAGGAUCAACUCCGUCAUGAGGGGCGACAUCACUUCCCAGGAUCAACUCCGUCAUGAGGGGCGACAUCACUUCCCAGGAUCAACUCUGUCAGUAGUUCUCUAUACUACUUGUCUCGUCCAAUUCAGACCAAGCCCCAGCCCAUCUAUAAUGGUAUCAGUUUCUUUCACAAAUAUUUCAGGUCAUAGUCAGUGGGGUGCUCCCUGUGGACAAGGGGUGGCUGGAGCUGCCGGUCAGGAGAAGCCGGGGAGUUGGGGGCCUCCCCAACAGCGUGCACCCUGAGCCUGGAGGCACGGUGUCUCCUGUAGACGAUGACAAGGGUACAGACAACGAGGGCAAGGACAGAGAGGGCGGCCAAACUGCCCAGUACAACAGCAAGUGUGGUCUGGGAACUGCUGA
rnacentral:lncRNA from 1 species